UCUCCGUUGGUGAACCAGCGGAGGGAUCAUUACUGGAAUCGCAAGAUCCCACAACUCCUGUGAAUCUACCGAGACGUUGCCUCGGCCGGCUCCCGGCUCGACUCAGGGCUCUCGGGCGCUGGGCUGGGCCCGGAGCUUAGCUUCCUUCAGUGGGUGCGCAUGCUGCUAGCAAAUAAACUCUAAAUAUUAAAGACGGCUCUGAUUGCACACAAAACUAAGAAAAAACUUUCAACAACGGAUCUCAUACUUCUGGCAACGAUGCAGACAUAAGCAGAUCGG
rnacentral:misc_RNA from 1 species